rnacentral:rRNA from 1 species
GACGAACGCUGGCGGCGUGCUUAACACAUGCAAGUUGAACGGAAAGGCCCUGCUUUUGUGGGGUGCUCGAGUGGCGAACGGGUGAGUGACACGUGAGUAACCUGCCCUUGACUUUGGGAUAACUUCAGGAAACUGGGGCUAAUACCGGAUAGGAGCUCCUGCUGCAUGGUGGGGGUUGGAAAGUUUCGGCGGUUGGGGAUGGACUCGCGGCUUAUCAGCUUGUUGGUGGGGUAGUGGCUUACCAAGGCUUUGACGGGUAGCCGGCCUGAGAGGGUGACCGGCCACAUUGGGACUGAGAUACGGCCCAGACUCCUACGGGAGGCAGCAGUGGGGAAUAUUGCACAAUGGGCGGAAGCCUGAUGCAGCAACGCCGCGUGCGGGAUGACGGCCUUCGGGUUGUAAACCGCUUUCGCCUGUGACGAAGCGUGAGUGACGGUAAUGGGUAAAGAAGCACCGGCUAACUACGUG